GACGAACGCUGGCGGCGUGCUUAACACAUGCAAGUCGAACGGAAAGGCCCUGCUUUUGUGGGGUGCUCGAGUGGCGAACGGGUGAGUAACACGUGAGUAACCUUCCCUUGACUUUGGGAUAACUUCAGGAAACUGGGGCUAAUACCGGAUAGGAGCUCCUGCUGCAUGGUGGGGGUUGGAAAGUUUCGGCGGUUGGGGAUGGACUCGCGGCUUAUCAGCUUGUUGGUGGGGUAGUGGCUUACCAAGGCUUUGACGGGUAGCCGGCCUGAGAGGGUGACCGGCCACAUUGGGACUGAGAUACGGCCCAGACUCCUACGGGAGGCAGCAGUGGGGAAUAUUGCACAAUGGGCGGAAGCCUGAUGCAGCAACGCCGCGUGCGGGAUGACGGCCUUCGGGUUGUAAACCGCUUUCGCCUGUGACGAAGCGUGAGUGACGGUAAUGGGGAAAGAAGCACCGGCUAACUACGU
rnacentral:rRNA from 1 species